GUCUACGGCCAUGCCACCCUGAACAAGCCUGAUCCUGUCUGAUCUCAGAAGCUAAGCAGGGUCGGGCCUGGUUAGUACUUGGAUGGGAGACCACCUAGGAAGACCAGGUGCUAUAGGCA
rnacentral:rRNA from 1 species